ACGGGAGGCAGCAGUGGGGAAUAUUGGGCAAUGGGCGAAAGCCUGACCCAGCAACGCCGCGUGAAGGAAGAAGGCCUUCGGGUUGUAAACUUCUUUUAGCAGGGACGAAGGACGUGACGGUACCUGCAGAAAAAGCAACGGCUAACUACGUGCCAGCAGCCGCGGUAAUACGUAGGUUGCAAGCGUUGUCCGGAUUUACUGGGUGUAAAGGGCGUGUAGGCGGAGCUGCAAGUCAGAUGUGAAAUCCCGGGGCUCAACCCCGGAACUGCAUUUGAAACUGUAGCCCUUGAGUAUCGGAGAGGCAAGCGGAAUUCCUAGUGUAGCGGUGAAAUGCGUAGAUAUUAGGAGGAACACCAGUGGCGAGGGCGGCUUACUGGACGACAACUGACGUUGAGGCUCGAAAGCGUGGGGAGCAAACAGGAUUAGAUACCCUGGUA
rnacentral:rRNA from 1 species